GCAUAAGUAGUCCAACGGUUAAGAUAUUUGCCUUCCAAGCAAUAGAUCCGGGUUCGACUCCCGGCUGAUGCA
rnacentral:tRNA from 1 species